rnacentral:rRNA from 1 species
UGUUAUGUACAUGCCUACAACGUUAAUGCAUUAGAUCCCAUCAAAACUCUUCAACUAAGCAUGCUUGGAAUAGAUUAGUAUUGGGUUGGGUGACGUCCUAGGAAGUCCUAGUGUUUUACAU